AUUGAACGCUGGCGGCAGGCCUAACACAUGCAAGUCGAACGAGUGGCGGACGGGUGAGUAAUGUCUGGGAACCUGCCUGAUGGAGGGGGAUAACUACUGGAAACGGUAGCUACUACCGCAUACCACCGGAUGUGCCCUGGUGGGAUUAGCAAGUCGGUGGGGUAAAGGUUCACCUCGGCGAAGAUGCCUAGCUGGUCUGAGAGGAUGACCAGCCAAACUGGAACUGAGACACGGGCCAGACUCCUACGGGAGGCAGCAGGAGGGAAUAUUGCACAAUGGGCGAAAGCCUGACGCAGCCAGGCCGCGUGUAUGAAGAAGGCCUUCGGGUUGUAAAGUACUGUCGGCGGGGAGGCGGUACCCGCAGAAAAAGCACCGGCUAACUACGUGCCAGCAGCCGCGGUAAUAC
rnacentral:rRNA from 1 species